rnacentral:misc_RNA from 1 species
GGACUGGUCUAUACCCUCCAUACCCGAUAUUGAUGGAGCGACGACAAGGACUGCAAAGAUUUAGUGGACUCCAACUUGGGAUGCUCAUCUCUUCCCCGCAAUCCAUUUCUGCUAGAACUUUAUAGAACAAAUCAACAUCGCAGGGAAGCAAUAUUGGACCUUCGCUAUUGAACCCAUAUUCCAGUUCAGCAUCUUCUAGCAACAACUUGAACAAUGGAUGGUUAGCGAACUCUGUCUUUAUCACGAACCUUUGUUUCUC